rnacentral:tRNA from 1 species
GGUUGUGGCUCAGUGGCAGAGUGCUCGCCUAGCACAUGUGAGGCCCUGGGUUCAAUCCUCAGCACCA